AUUCGAUCACGUUUUUGAGAUUAUCGUCUACUUGAUAAUUUUGAUCCUUUUCAAAAAAUUUAUGCUUAUUUUCAACUUAGUUUUUAAGAAGUAUGCAAAAUAUGAGUUAAGAUCAAUAGUUCAUUCAUUUCUUAUUAAGGUUUAAAUUUAUUAUAGAAAUUACUAGGAUUUAAGGUUUGGUUGAGAUUUAAUUUAGGAUUAGGAUUUGGUUUAGGAUUUAAGAUUUGAUUAAGGUUUGAUUUAGGAUUUAGGGUUUGCUUAGGAUUUGAUUUAGGAUUAGAAUUUGAUUAGGAUUUGAUUUAAGGUUAGGAUUUGAUUAGGAUUUGAUUUAGGAUUAGAAUUUGAUUAAGGAUUUAAGAUUUGAUUAGGAUUUUGUUAAGAUUUGGUUUAAGAUUUAUGAUUUGAUUUAGAAUUUAGGAUUUGGUUUAGGAUUUAAGAUUUGGUUAGGAUUUGCUUUAAGAUUUAGGAUUUUAUUAGGGUUUGAUUUAGGAUUUGGUUAAGAUUUGAUUUAGGGUUUAGGAUUUUAUUAGGGUUUGUUUAGGAUUUAAGAUUUAGUUAGUUUUGGCCUAAAAUUUGAAUGAAGUCUAAUAGGAUUUUAACUAAGAUUAAAUUAAGAUUGAAUUGAAAUAUAUUUGAGAUGUAUUUGUGAUCAUACUAAUAUUUCUUUAAGAUUUCUUAUUGUUUCUUUGUAAUUCCUUUGAGGUUUCUUUGAAUUUGAUUAAAGCUUGCUUAACAUAGUUAUGAUCUAAUUAGAAUUUAGUUAGUAUUUUAUAAUAGUAAUCUAACUUGGCUCUCAUCAUGUUAUCUAGUAUAUUAUAUAUUAAACAUAUAAACACAAUUAUUCUUAUGACAUAUCACUUUUAUGUUCAAAAAUCACUUCUAUAUACCAUAAGAGGCCUUUGAAGCACAAUUAG
rnacentral:lncRNA from 1 species